GCAGGUGAAUGCAACGUCAAGCGAUGGGCGUUGCGCUCCAUAUUGUCUUACUUCCUUUUUUGAAUUAUUGCAUAGCAUAUUUGAUUCAUACAAGCCGGUUUUUACCGGCUUUU
rnacentral:sRNA from 1 species